rfam:Schistosoma haematobium scaffold187_25, whole genome shotgun sequence.
UGCUGAGGAGUCCCAUACUAGGACGAAACGGCCGUCCAGUGC